rnacentral:tRNA from 1 species
GCCGGGGUGGCGGAACUGGCAGACGCACAGGACUUAAAAUCCUGUGGAUAGUGAUAUCCGUACCGGUUCGAUUCCGGUCCUCGGCA